rnacentral:rRNA from 1 species
UACGUAGGGUGCAAGCGUUAUCCGGAAUUAUUGGGCGUAAAGAGCUCGUAGGCGGUUUGUCGCGUCUGCUGUGAAAACCCGAGGCUCAACCUCGGGCCUGCAGUGGGUACGGGCAGACUAGAGUGCGGUAGGGGAGACUGGAAUUCCUGGUGUAGCGGUGAAAUGCGCAGAUAUCAGGAGGAACACCGGUGGCGAAGGCGGGUCUCUGGGCCGUAACUGACGCUGAGGAGCGAAAGCAUGGGGAGCGAACAGG